UACGGAGGGUGCAAACGUUGCUCGGAAUCAUUGGGCGUAAAGCGCACGUAGGUGGCGACGUAAGUCGGGUGUGAAAGCCCCGGGCUCAACCUGGGAAUUGCAUUCGAGACUGCAUUGCUGGAGUACGGAAGAGGAAGGCGGAAUUCCCGGUGUAGCGGUGAAAUGCGUAGAUAUCGGGAGGAACAUCAGUGGCGAAGGCGGCCUUCUGGUCCAGUACUGACACUCAAGUGCGAAAGCGUGGGGAGCAAACAGG
rnacentral:rRNA from 1 species